AACGUGUCAAACGUGUACAACGCACGCAAAGAUAUUAUUCAGCGCAUCGAAUUCUGAACGGCUUUGAUGAGCGACUGCGGUGGCGGCGAUUGCGGUGGCGGCGGUAGCGGUGAUUGUGGUGGCGGCGGCGGUAUAUAUAGCGGUGAUUGUGGCGGUGACGAUGGCGGUGGGAGUAUUGGCAGUGACGGUGAUUACGGAGGCGGCGAUGGUGAUUGCGAUGGCGGCUGUGGAUGCGAAUUUGACCACAAAAACGGAUCGCGCAGAAGGACGUGCUUGAAGAUUUUGUGUGGUUGUGUUGCAAUCAUCGUUACAGUUAUAAUAGUCGUGGUUAUAGUCACAAUCUUCGUUCGAUGAUACCUGAAAUUGUUACUUGUGCUUCUCUGAGUUCAUCGUUCAUGAAAUAAGAGAAAUAGUCUCAGAAGUGAAUGAAGGCAGACACGUGAGCAGAGAUCUUUUAGAUUUUUCCUCUCAGCUCUCUAAACAAAUGUGAACGUAUAAUAUAGGAAAAUGUGGAGGGGACCGGUAGCAGCACUGACUUGAUUAUUGAUGAUGUUUGGGUAUAGUUUAAUAUUUCUCGGCCACUCCAGUGCUGCUAUAUAUGCUCACAGUAUGGCAGUUGUAAAAUUGGUUUGCACCGAGCUUCUACUCGUAAACACCGAUUAUUGAAGAGCACGUAUCUGUCAAGUGACUUAAUUUCAUGACAGCUUCACUCUAAAUGAAGCAAAUCAUGAUAAUAUCAACAAAGUUUCGAAUAAGGAAAACAAUAAAACUCUUCUUCCGAUAAAAAUAAUUUGAGAGACUGAUUGUAACGCUUCUUCUUCUUGAGAUGAUUUUAGAGACUGAUUUGCAAAACGAAACGAGAAUCGGUGUUUACGAGUUCUGAUCUGGAAGAAAAAUGAUAAGAAGUAGCAGGCACACCUGUUCAGAAGCCGGAUGAGGAAGUAAAACAAUUAAGUUCAGUUGAAACUUAAAGACGCUGGUGUUGAUAACUUUGGACUUUUUAAAUAUAAUUACUAGAAAUUUCCUGGUAAAGCUUACCUCAGCUCAGCUCAGCUUAUACGAAGAAGCAGGAUUAAAGAUGAAGAGACUUAAGUUUUGACGCAGAUUAGUAAAUAAGUUUGCCUGACCUACUGAUGGGCGGAUGUUAGUCAGAUGAUAAAUUCUUCCAAAUUUGGGAGGAUUUAUCAUUAAUGGCCCUAUCAUUUAUCAUUAUUGGCUUAAAGAGUUUCAUGUGCCAGAACUAGACGUAGAACUAUAUGUGUUAUGUAAAAAGACAUUCUAAUACCUUAUACUAUUAAAAAUUUUCGCGAAAUUUAUGUUUAUUUCGUAUC
rnacentral:lncRNA from 1 species